CUCUACAGAUACCCAGAAUUCCACCGCUGCCUUCAAGACACCUCACCCCACAAACCCAUCUUCCUCCAAGCCCUGACAGAACAACAGCUGCUUUUCAAGAAGCACUAGAAGAGUAUCUUGAAGUCCCAGGUGUGAAGAAAUGAAUGAGCACGUAGCUAUCUAGUACCUUCAGGUGUAAGCAGACACCGCCUGUCAAGACAGAGGAUGAGCACUCUGCUAAUCAGAACUGCCAGGGAACCAAAAAAUCAGUUAUUCACCCACUGCUAAUUAUAAUGCUCUGGAUAUUCUUGAUGUCUAUAAAAAUGUCCAGUUCCUUUUUGAAUCUUGUCAAGUUCUUGGCAUCACUGACUUCUGUGGCAAUGAGUUUCACAAUGUAUGAAAAAGAAUGUCCUUCUAUCAAUUUUGAAUGUCCCACAUCUUAAUUUCACUCAAUGUCCCCUUGACAGCGAGAAGUUUCUUAUAUACCUUCUCAACAUUAUUCAUUAUUUUAUAUUGUGGUUUCAUGUUCCCCCUUACCACCUUUCUAUGGAAAAUAAUCCCAGGCUUUUCCAUCUCUCAUCAUAUGAAUGUUUUUCUAGGCCCUUGAUCAUUCUUGUUGGUCCUCCCCUCUAAUUCUGCAAUAUCCUUUUUGAGAUUGGGGUGACAGUACUACAUAUAGUAUUCCAGAUGAGGCUGUACCAUUGAUUUUUAUAUGAAUGCAUUAUAAAAUUCAAAAGCUAUACAUCUUGUCAUGCUUUAUGGAUUACUUAUGGGAACACUUAAAACUAUACAUGUUUAGAAAUCCAUGUCUGAUUAUGCUGGUAAUAUCUCUGAUUUUCAGAACUGAAAUAUUCUUUAA